rnacentral:rRNA from 1 species
UCAAGCUACAAAGGGCGCAUGGUGAAUGCCUUGGCAUCAGGAGCCGAUGAAGGACGUGAUAAGCUGCGAUAAGCUUCGGGUAGGCGCACAUAGCCAGAGAUCCGAAGAUUUCCGAAUGAGGAAACUCACAUGGGAAACCCCAUGUAUCUAUAAGUGAAUACAUAGCUUAUGGAAGGUAAACCCAGGGAACUGAAACAUCUAAGUACCUGGAGGAAGAGAAAGAAAAAUCGAUUUUCUUAGUAGCGGCGAGCGAAAGGGAAAGAGCCCAAACCGGAAAUUUAUUUCUGGGGUUGAGGACAGAACAUUAACGAGAAGUUAUGGAUAAUUGAAGAUGACUGGAAAGUCAAGCCAUAGAGUGUAAUAGCCACGUAAGUGAAAUUCAUAAUAAUCAAGUUCUGAUCCAGAGUACCACGAGACACGUGAAACCUUGUGGGAAGCAGGGAGGACCACCUCCCAAGGCUAAAUACUACCUGAUGACCGAUAGUGAAGCAGUACCGUGAGGGAAAGGUGAAAAGAACCCCGGGAGGGGAGUGAAAUAGAACCUGAAACCGUGUGCCUACAACCGGUCAAAGCCCCUUAUGAGGGUGAUGACGUGCUUUUUGUAGAACGAGCCAACGAGUUACGGUAUGUAGCAAGGUUAAGUACUUAAGGUACGGAGCCGAAGGGAAACCGAGUCUUAAUAGGGCGACUAGUUGCAUGCCGUAGACCCGAAACCGGGUGACCUAUCCAUGGCCAGGUUGAAGCGGGGGUAAAACCCCGUGGAGGACCGAACCACGUUGCUGUUGAAAAAGCAUGGGAUGAGCUGUGGAUAGCGGAGAAAUUCCAAUCGAACUCGGAGAUAGCUGGUUCUCCUCGAAAUAGCUUUAGGGCUAGCGUCGGAUAUGAGUAGUGGAGGUAGAGCACUGAAUGGGCUAGGGGGCAUAGCGCUUACCGAACCUUAUCAAACUCCGAAUGCCACAUACUAUUAGUCCGGCAGUCAGACUGCGAAAGAUAAGUUCCGUAGUCAAAAGGGAAACAGCCCAGAUCGUCAGCUAAGGUCCCAAAGUGUAAGUUAAGUGGAAAAGGAUGUGGGAUUUCUAAGACAACUAGGAUGUUGGCUUAGAAGCAGCCACUCAUUAAAAGAGUGCGUAAUAGCUCACUAGUCGAGAGAUCCUGCGCCGAAGAUGUCCGGGGCUCAAACUUACCACCGAAGCUACGGGUUUACACUUAUGUGUGAGCGGUAGAGGAGCGUCGUAAUCGGGCUGAAGUCGUACCGUAAGGAGCGGUGGACUGAUUACGAGUGAGAAUGUUGGCAUUAGUAGCGAGAUGUGGGUGAGAAUCCCACAGGCCGAAUAUCUAAGGUUUCCUCAGGAAGGUUCGUCCGCUGAGGGUUAGUCGGGACCUAAGCCGAGGCCGAAAGGCGUAGGCGAUGGACAAUCGGUUGAUAUUCCGAUACCACUACUGAUCGUUAUUAUCGAUGGUGUGACGGAGAAGGAUAGAGUGUGCUAGCUAUUGGAUGCUAGUCUAAGCGUUUAGGGAGUUAGGAAAGGCAAAUCCAUCCUAACAAUUCUGAGGCGUGAUGGGGAAGGUUCUACGGAACCGAAGUACUUGAUUCCAUGCUUCCAAGAAAAGCAUCUAGAGAGAGAUGUAGUGCCCGUACCGCAAACCGACACAGGUAGAUGAGGAGAGAAUCCUAAGGCCGGCGGAAGAAUCACAGUUAAGGAACUAGGCAAAUUGACCCCGUAACUUAGGGAGAAGGGGUGCCUGUGAGAGCAGGCCGCAGAGAAUAGGCCCAAGCAACUGUUUAGCAAAAACACAGGUCUCUGCUAAAGCGAAAGCUGAUGUAUAGGGGCUGACGCCUGCCCGGUGCUGGAAGGUUAAGGGGAACACUUAGCGCAAGCGAAGGUGUGAACUUAAGCCCCAGUAAACGGCGGCCGUAACUAUAACGGUCCUAAGGUAGCGAAAUUCCUUGUCAGGUAAGUUCUGACCCGCACGAAUGGCGUAAUGACUUGGGCACUGUCUCAACUGUGAAUCCGGCGAAGUUGUAGUGCGAGUGAAGAUGCUCGCUACCCGCGAUUGGACGGAAAGACCCCGUAGAGCUUUACUGUAGCUUAGCAUUGAAUUUCGGUAUUGUCUGUACAGGAUAGGUGGGAGACUGGGAAAUCAGGGCGUCAGCCUUGAUGGAGUCGUCCUUGGGAUACCACCCUGACAGUACUGAGGUUCUAACUGGAUGNUGAAGUCGUACCGUAAGGAGCGGUGGACUGAUUACGAGUGAGAAUGUUGGCAUUAGUAGCGAGAUGUGGGUGAGAAUCCCACAGGCCGAAUAUCUAAGGUUUCCUCAGGAAGGUUCGUCCGCUGAGGGUUAGUCGGGACCUAAGCCGAGGCCGAAAGGCGUAGGCGAUGGACAAUCGGUUGAUAUUCCGAUACCACUACUGAUCGUUAUUAUCGAUGGUGUGACGGAGAAGGAUAGAGUGUGCUAGCUAUUGGAUGCUAGUCUAAGCGUUUAGGGAGUUAGGAAAGGCAAAUCCGUCCUAACAAUUCUGAGGCGUGAUGGGGAAGGUUCUACGGAACCGAAGUACUUGAUUCCAUGCUUCCAAGAAAAGCAUCUAGAGAGAGAUGUAGUGCCCGUACCGCAAACCGACACAGGUAGAUGAGGAGAGAAUCCUAAGGCCGGCGGAAGAAUCACAGUUAAGGAACUAGGCAAAUUGACCCCGUAACUUAGGGAGAAGGGGUGCCUGUGAGAGCAGGCCGCAGAGAAUAGGCCCAAGCAACUGUUUAGCAAAAACACAGGUCUCUGCUAAAGCGAAAGCUGAUGUAUAGGGGCUGACGCCUGCCCGGUGCUGGAAGGUUAAGGGGAACACUUAGCGCAAGCGAAGGUGUGAACUUAAGCCCCAGUAAACGGCGGCCGUAACUAU